AAAUCAUACGAAUCGAAUUUAUUCUUCUUCCCGUUCUCUGUAAUAUAUCUAGGAAAUGAACGAAACGAGCGGAUAUUUUGGAAGAAAGAAAGCGGAUCGAUCGAAUGGAAUUUAGUUAAAAUACGAGGUGGGGGGUGAAAGUCUAUUUCGAAAGCGAUCGAAAUCGUAACUCGCGUGAACGUUGGAAAGAAGGGGGGUACGUAGCUGUGGAUGUUAAGUUAAUCGAUUUCUCUUUCUGUCGCUUGGGCAUAGAGGGUGUCCUCUCCCUUCCCUCCCCCUCCCCCCCCGCUUUGCGAUCAGCCAAGAUGCCCGGCCUGCGUGAACGAGGCGGGCGCAACCUGUGGCUGAUCCUGACCGCCGCGCCUCCCUGCGUCCGGAAAUUUAGCCACGCUCGAUUCUCAAACUCCCCUCGCUCAGUGCCAUUCUCACCGUUCGACCGUUUACACGGGCGAUGCUGCCUCCCAUCGUCUCCUCGUGCAUCCGUCGUACAGUCCGUCGAGUUUAAUCAUCGGCAGCGAUGCGAUCGUCGCCACGGCUCGUCCAACGCCACCGCGCCUUUUUCUUUUCUUCUCCAACUUCGAUCCGCUCAAUCUACCGCGGCGCGCAUAAAUAUUUCCUUCCGCCUCCGAUCUUCGAGUAGUAGAAGUAGUGAAGUGCCGGUUCCACUCGCGUUUUCUUCUACGUUUCUCCCUUCGAUCAUCGUCAUCAUCGUCGUCGUCACGAAUUUCGAAUAUCGAUCGAUUUCGUUUCCCGUCGAAUCGACCGAAUCCUUUUGCUCACUGGUUGGAAACGAGGUAUCGUGUCGUAGCAAUACGCCGAGGAAAUAUCUUACAAUAUUAUAAUAAUAAUAAUAAU